rnacentral:rRNA from 1 species
UUUAAGGUCUAACCUGCCCAAUGAGGAUUUAAAUGGCCGCAGUAUUUUGACUGUGCAAAGGUAGCAUAAUUAUUAGUUUUUUAAUUGAAAGCUUGUAUGAAGGGUUGGACGAGAUAAAAUCUGUCUUUAUUUAAAUUAGAGUAUAACUUAACUUUUAAGUCAAAAGGCUUAAAUGUUUAUAAAAGACGAGAAGACCCUAUAGAUCUUUAUUUAUUUAAGAUUUUAAUAAUUUAGGAUUAUUUUAAUUUGAAGUUUUAAAUAAAUUUUAUUGGGGUAAUAUAAAGAUUAAAUAAAUUCUUUUUAUUUAUUACAUUGAUUUAUGAAUAUAUGAUCCAUUAAUACUGAUUAUAAGAUUAAGUUACCUUAGGGAUAACAGCGUAAUUUUUUUGGAGAGCUCAUAUCGAUAAGAAAGUUUGCGACCUCGAUGUUGGAUUAAAAAUUAGCUUGGGUGCAGAAGCUCAAGAUUUUGGUCUGUUCGACCAUUAAAUUUUUACAUGAUCUGAGUUCAGACCGGCGUAAGCCAGGUCGGUUUCUAUCUUUAUUUAAAUAAAAUGUUUUAGUACGAAAGGACCAAAUAUUUAAUAUAGUUAUAUUUAUUUUUU